rnacentral:rRNA from 1 species
GACGAACGCUGGCGGCGUGCUUAACACAUGCAAGUCGAACGGUAAGGCCCUUCGGGGUACACGAGUGGCGAACGGGUGAGUAACACGUGGGUGAUCUGCCCUGCACUUCGGGAUAAGCCUGGGAAACUGGGUCUAAUACCGGAUAGGACUCCUGGCUUCAUGGUUGGGGGUGGAAAGCUUUUGCGGUGUGGGAUGGGCCCGCGGCCUAUCAGCUUGUUGGUGGGGUAAUGGCCUACCAAGGCGACGACGGGUAGCCGGCCUGAGAGGGUGACCGGCCACACUGGGACUGAGAUACGGCCCAGACUCCUACGGGAGGCAGCAGUGGGGAAGAUUGCACAAUGGGCGCAAGCCUGAUGCAGCGACGCCGCGUGAGGGAUGACGGCCUUCGGGUUGUAAACCUCUUUCAGUAGGGACGAAGCGCAAGUGACGGUACCUACAGAAGAAGGACCGGCCAACUACGUGCCAGCCGCCGCGGUAA